rnacentral:rRNA from 1 species
CCCUUAGAUGUUCUGGGCCGCACGCGCGCUACACUGAUGCAUUCAACGAGUCUAAAACCUGCUCUGAUAGGGGUGGGUAAUCUUUUGAAUGUGCAUCGUGAUUGGGAUAGAUGAUUGCAAUUUUUCAUCUUCAACGAGGAAUGCCUAGUAAACGCAAGUCAUCAGCUUGCAUUGAUUACGUCCCUGCCCUUUGUACACACCGCCCGUCGCUCCUACCGAUUGAAUGGUCCGGUGAAGCCUCGGGAUUGUGGUUCUUGCCGCUUUAUUGUGGCGUGACCGCGAGAACUUGUCUAAACCUUAUCAUCUAGAGGAAGGUGAAGUCGUAACA